rnacentral:rRNA from 1 species
UACAGAGGUCUCAAGCGUUGUUCGGAUUCAUUGGGUACGGUAAAGGGUGCGUAGGUGGACGGGGUAAGUCAGGUGUGAAAUUUCGGAGCUCAACUCCGAAACUGCAUUUGAUACUGCCUUGCUUGAGGACUGGAGGAGGAGACGUGGAAAUUCACGGUGUAGCAGUGAAAUGCGUAGAGAUCGUGAGGAAGACCAGUGGCGAAGGCGGGUCUCUGGACAGUUCCUGACACUGAGGCACGAAAGGCCAGGGGAGCAAACGGG